CUGAUGGUGCUGUACUGGGUACAGGAGAAGGUACUGGGGUAGUUGGAGGAGGAGUUGGUUUGGUACCUGGCACUGGUAGAGUAGGAACAGGAGCCACAAAACCUGGAAAAAGCUAUGGCGCUGCUGGAGGUGGAAUUUUACCAGGUGGAGGAAUACGUUACCCAACAGGAGCUGGAGUAGGACAGGGAACAGGAAAACCAGGCAAAG